rnacentral:tRNA from 1 species
UGGGGAAUAGCUCAGUUGGUAGAGUGCUUGCCUUGCAUGCACAAGGCCCUGGGUUCAAUCCCUAGCACCCCCA